rnacentral:lncRNA from 1 species
CCCCAUCCCACCCCUCUAGGUUGUCCCAGAGCACCGAUUUGAGCAAAUUCCCACUGGCUAUUUUACGUUUGGUAACGUACAUGUUUCCAUACUACGCUCUCAAUCCGCCCCGCCCUCUCCUUGCCCGACUGUGUCCACAAGUCUUCUCUACGUCCCUGUCUCCGUGGCUGCCCUGCAGAUGGGUUCAUCAGUACCAUCUUUGUAGAUUCCAUGCCUAUGUGUUAAUGUAUAAUAUUUAUUUUUUUCUUUCUGACUUACCUCACUCAGUAUAAUAGGCUCUAGUUUCACCCACCUCAUUAGAACUGACUCGAAUUUGAUGUUGGCCUUUUUGCAGGUAGAAGAGGUUGAGUGGAGACCGUCAGAGGACUUGCUGGCAGGUGGAGAAUGUGGUUACCACCUCCCCCUAACAGCAACCCGAGUAGAAGGAGCCAGGGUGGGCUCAGAGGUGAGAGCAAUUCCCAAACCGAUUUGACCAGAGAACCCUCGGGAAGCAUCAGAGUGUGGUGGCUGGAAACGCAGACUCAAGAGGCCGACCUGGCUGGCUUUGCAGCUUUCCAUUCCACCUACAACUGUUAUGACCUUGGAAAGUGAGUGACCUCUGAAAACGUCAUA